rnacentral:lncRNA from 1 species
GUUCACUAGCCCACCUCCCCUCCUCUCUUUUCUUUUGAAUCAAUUUUCACGUGUGGCACAGAUUUAAACGAUAAUUGAACGUCUCUGAUAACAAAUGCUGGCCAUUCGUAGAAUCGUAGCCCAUCCACAUUUAAACGAAAAUAUCUCUGACAUUUCGUGGACAUCUCUAUUAAAAAUAUCUCUGACAUUACACUCGACAAACUUAUUAAUACAAAAAAAAUCUAUGAUUUUGUCAUCUGUGGUAUAGAUUUAUAGGUUGAUUGAUACGUCCAUGGUAUAUAUUUUAUGUAUUUCAUUAUCAAAUGCUGGCCGUUGGGACCCUAUCUACAUCUAUUUAUGGCCAGUUAUGCCAUUACAAAUUAUCCCCUCAUCAGAUAUUUCGUUAAAAUUCAUUCUGAAACACUAAAACUAAAUAAUCGAAUAUGGGUUUGCGGGUCAAUGAUGCCAGAAGCAAUGAGAGUGCAAUUAUCACUUGUUUAGUUUCUGUGCUUGCCGUGGUUU